UACCUACGCUAGCGCAUAGCUCGUACUCGCCUACCUCCCCGUCAACUACACCGUGACCAGGCUACCCCAUCCACCCAAGCCAGAGGCAAUUCAAAAUUCGAAUCCCAGUCGCAGCUGCAUUGACCGGCGGAACCAUGCCCUCCUCAUCGCCGCGCCUGGAUCUCGAUAUUUCUUCACAAAUCACCAAUGAAUCUCGGCGGGGAGUCAUUCACGGAUCUCUUGUUCAUGUUUCUCCUCUUUUUCUUUCCUUGUUUUCUACCGCAAAUCCUCAAAUCUUCAUCUUGCCAUGUCGAUGAACAGCUUCUGUUCCCAGUCGGUCGCAACCGUGGGCGUCCUAGAUCUGGCAUUGCCAGAGGGAGGGGAGGUGCGGUGAUGGAGGGAAAGAUUGUGAUAGCGAUUCUCCUUCCUCAAGUUCUGCAUCUCAAGUUCAAGAGGCAACGGAAGAUUUUUUCAAUGUCCCAGACAUUGACCAAACCGACAGUCACAGAGAGCAUCCAUCUGAAUCGCAACACACUCCAACUCUGUGGCCUCAAAGAGCCUGACUUGGCAAGAUACCCGACUGCUGCGCCUCAUUAUCAGGAAGGAAAAGUUCUUUGGAGAAGGUCAUGAGGAAUUUCACAUAUAAGAAGUCAGGUACCAUCCACAAGCCGGAAAUCAGCCAGGAAUUUGAUUCUUUGGACGAAGCUUACGACUUCUACAACCUAUACUCUUGGGAGACUGGGUUCGGCAUCAAGUAUGGGCAAUGCAGAAGAAACGUGGACAAGUGCAAGACGGUCCAGGACAUGGUUUUCGGAUGCCAAGUAGUGAAUAUAUUUGAUUCAAGACAUGUAAACUUGGCAGUGUUACAAGGACGUGUACAUUUUGCCAUUGUACUGAUGUGAGUACAAAGUGCAACUGAAAUUGUACAUGGGUUGUUCAUUUCUGACAAAGCGUCAUGUGUUUUGCUUUCUU